GUUCUAUCUGACCUGCUAGGAGACCUGGAGGCCUGCGAUGACCUGAAAGGUGGAGUUGUGGCUAACGGGGAAGCCUCUAACGACAAGCAGACCAUCAUCCAAAACCGCAUUAAGCAAAUGAUGGAUGUCUCUCGGGUCCUGACCACUCUGUCUGUUGUGGAGGAAGAGCGCGAUCGCUUCAUGACCAAGCUGCUAAACGAAGAGAAGUCCAGGAAAGAGCUGGAAGAGCAAUUUCAGAAGCUGGAGCAUGACAUCUUGUUGGUGAAAAGUGACAAGAACCACCUGGAGAACCAGUACAAGACCCUGCAGCAGAAG